AUCGAUACAACUGAAAUUCGUGCAAACGAGGAAGAAGGAAGUGGAGCGAUUAAAGCACGACGGACGUAUAACUACAGGGUGGUUAUGGUUAAAGGAGACACAGUACUGGACGUGAGAGGACGCUGUAGCGCUGGACAGAAGGUUCUGGCAUCGUUGAUAAUCAGAUUAGCUCUGGCAGAAACAUUCUGCCUGAACUGCGGUAUUUUAACUCUCGACGAGCCGACUACAAAU